UGUGUUUGUGCUCAAAAUAAUAACCUUACUCUUAACAGAACCCUAAUACCGUUAACUUUUUCACUCUCUUCUGUUUUCUCUUUUUCCUCCCACCUCCCAAUCUUCAUCUUCCUUUAUCCAUAUAUCUAUAUAAUUAUCGAUGCGUGCAUCUACGACUAAUGGUAGAGAUAUGGGAGAAACCAAACAUAAAUUAAAAGUUUUAAAUUCACUAAAAUUGUAAGAUUAUCUGUACGCAUCCCUUUAUUUCUUUCUUUCAUCAUCUUUUGCUUUAGUGUUGUCCCCGAACUUUUUUAGGCGACAAAAUAAUGAUCCGCGCGCGUCGGCAUAAUCAAGCACUCGGUAUGGCUUUAGGCGUCAAGACAAAAUUGGUACAAUACACAUGCUUUUGGCAAAACUUUUUUUUUCACCUAUAAAUUAGCUUAAACUUCUUGUGGAUUUGCAUCGCCAAAUCAGAUUACUUCUAAAAAACUUACCUAUACCUCUUGUGAAUUUUGUAUUGCAAAACUAUGAAGCUGUCAAUGAAGCCCUUUGCCGCAAUUUUUCUUGUGCUCUUACUUGUCUUGGCCACAGGUUCCUUCUCCUCUUAAUUUUGAAGUAUAUAUCUUAAAAGAUUGGGCCAAGAGUCGCAGAAGCAAGAACUUGUGGAACUCCAAGCCAGAGGUUCAGGGGAUUAUGUGUUAGAAAGAGAAAUUGUGAAUCAGUUUGCAACAGUGAAGGAUUUCCUGAUGGAAGUUGUCAAGGCGCACGCAGAAGAUGUAUUUGCAACAGGCCUUGCGCCAAAUAAUUAUGUACCUUAGCUUCUUCAAGCUACUUGUUUAAGUUGGUUAA